GAUAUAAGAGACUGUCAAUCUAGCCAAGGAGCUUGCCUAUGAACCAUGCAAAUGGCUUUGAGAACAUGGUAGAGCUGAUGAGCUCUUGAGGCCCUUGUAAUGAGACAUAGGCAAGUCAUCCUUGGCUACCAAACAGACUCUUAAUU
rfam:Nelumbo nucifera unplaced genomic scaffold scaffold00101, whole genome shotgun sequence